AGCAGCCGCGGUAAUUCCAGCUCCAAUAGCGUAUAUUAAAGUUGUUGCAGUUAAAAAGCUCGUAGUUGAAUUUCGGGGUUAGUAAGUUGGUCAUGCCUUCGGUAUGUACUGGCUUUACUGAUUCCUCCUUCUUGACGAACCGUGAUGUCAUUAAUUUGGUGUUGCGGGAAAUCAGGACUGUUACUUUGAAAAAAUUAGAGUGUUUAAAGCAGGCUAACGCUUGAAUACAUUAGCAUGGAAUAAUGAAAUAGGACGUUAAUCCUACUUUGUUGGUUUCUAGGAUCGACGUAAUGAUUAAUAGGGAUAGUUGGGGGCAUUAGUAUUCAAUUGUCAGAGGUGAAAUUCUUGGAUUUAUUGAAGACUAACUACUGCGAAAGCAUUUGCCAAGGAUGUUUUCAUUAAUCAAGAACGAAAGUUAGGGGAUCGAAGACGAUCAGAUACCGUCGUAGUCUUAACCAUAAACUAUGCCGACUAGGGAUCGGAUGAUGUUAUUUUUAAUGACUCA
rnacentral:rRNA from 1 species